rnacentral:ncRNA from 1 species
UGUGAUGGGUAGGGGAGCGUCGUGUGCCGGGUGAAGCAGCAGCGGAAGCUAGUUGUGGACGGUUCACGAGUGAGAAUGCAGGCAUGAGUAGCGAUACACACGUGAGAAACGUGUGCGCCGAUUGACUAAGGGUUCCUGGGUCAAGCUGAUCUGCCCAGGGUAAGUCGGGACCUAAGGCGAGGCCGACAGGCGUAGUCGAUGGACAACCGGUUGAUAUUCCGGUACCCGCUUUGAAACGCCCAAUAUCGAAUCAGGCGAUGCUAAGUCCGUGAAGCCGUUCCGGACCCUUCGGGGAAUGGAAAGUGGUGGAGCCGACGAACCAGACUUGUAGUAGGUAAGCGAUGGGGUGACGCAGGAAGGUAGUCCAGCCCGGGCGGUGGUUGUCCCGGGGUAAGGGUGUAGGCCGAGGGGUAGGCAAAUCCGUCCCUCAUAUAAGGCUGAGACCUGAUGCCGAGCCGAUUGUGGUGAAGUGGAUGAUCCUAUGCUGUCGAGAAAAGCCUCUAGCGAGUUUCAUGGCGGCCCGUACCCUAAACCGACUCAGGUGGUCAGGUAGAGAAUACCGAGGCGUUCGGGUGAACUAUGGUUAAGGAACUCGGCAAAAUGCCCCCGUAACUUCGGGAGAAGGGGGGCCAUCACUGGUGAUCGGAUUUACUCCGUGAGCUGGGGGUGGCCGCAGAGACCAGCGAGAAGCGACUGUUUACUAAAAACACAGGUCCGUGCGAAGCCGUAAGGCGAUGUAUACGGACUGACGCCUGCCCGGUGCUGGAACGUUAAGGGGACCGGUUAGUGCACUUUCGGGUGUGCGAAGCUGAGAACUUAAGCGCCAGUAAACGGCGGUGGUAACUAUAACCAUCCUAAGGUAGCGAAAUUCCUUGUCGGGUAAGUUCCGACCUGCACGAAUGGCGUAACGACUUCUCGACUGUCUCAACCAUAGGCCCGGUGAAAUUGCACUACGAGUAAAGAUGCUCGUUUCGCGCAGCAGGACGGAAAGACCCCGGGACCUUUACUACAGUUUGAUAUUGGUGUUCGGUUCGGCUUGUGUAGGAUAGGUGGGAGACUUUGAAGCCGUGACGCCAGUCAUGGUGGAGUCGCCGUUGAAAUACCACUCUGGUCGUGCUGGAUGUCUAACCUCGGUCCGUGAUCCGGAUCAGGGACAGUGUCUGAUGGGUAGUUUAACUGGGGCGGUUGCCUCCCAAAGGGUAACGGAGGCGCCCAAAGGUUCCCUCAGCCUGGUUGGCAAUCAGGUGUUGAGUGUAAGUGCACAAGGGAGCUUGACUGUGAGACCGACGGGUCGAGCAGGGACGAAAGUCGGGACUAGUGAUCCGGCGGUGGCUUGUGGAAGCGCCGUCGCUCAACGGAUAAAAGGUACCCCGGGGAUAACAGGCUGAUCUUCCCCAAGAGUCCAUAUCGACGGGAUGGUUUGGCACCUCGAUGUCGGCUCGUCGCAUCCUGGGGCUGGAGUCGGUCCCAAGGGUUGGGCUGUUCGCCCAUUAAAGCGGUACGCGAGCUGGGUUUAGAACGUCGUGAGACAGUUCGGUCCCUAUCCGCUGUGCGCGUAGGAAUAUUGAGAAGGGCUGUCCCUAGUACGAGAGGACCGGGACGGACGAACCUCUGGUGUGCCAGUUGUCCUGCCAAGGGCAUGGCUGGUUGGCUACGUUCGGGAGGGAUAACCGCUGAAAGCAUCUAAGCGGGAAGCCUGCUUCAAGAUGAGUAUUCCCACCUCCUUGAGAGGGUAAGGCUCCCAGUAGACGACUGGGUUGAUAGGCCAGAUGUGGAAGCCCGGUAACGGGUGGAGCUGACUGGUACUAAUAGGCCGAGGGCUUGUCCUC